AAUAAUUAUUAAUAAUAUCCCAGACAGCACAUGUACGUCUGGCCGACGUCGGCCCAAUAUCGAAACGUCGGCCUCUAUACCUAAAACAUCUAUAAAACAUCGGCCUGGCGGAGGCCGAUAUCAUUUGGUCAGUGCUCUGUUCUCCAGCUCAUCAGUCGUCGGCCCUGAGUUGGUUCACGACCGCGGGCCGAUGCCGCGCUUAUCUGUGUGCGCGUGCCCAGUAUUCGUCUCUUUUAGCCACCCAGAGAGAGAGAAGAGGAUAAUCCCAGCGACAUCUGUGGCUCUGAGGCUUCCAGAAAUAAUCCGGUGAAAUAAUAUGAUGUUUGUUUGUGUGAAUGCUGUGUGUGCGGUGAGUCCUGCGCGAGCGGGGAGCAGAGUUGCCAUGGAAACGGGGCGUCAACACAAAAACCGUUAACGUUACUGGCAAACAGUAAUCUCCGUCUCUCGCUGCGGUUUACACUGUUUUAGAAACGGUUUAGUGUCUUCGGAAAAGUCCGUUAUCAUUUUAGCAGUUUUCAGGUAACGUUAGGCUAACUCUAUAGACUGAGCUCUUGUUGAUGAAACUCUGGGCUUUUAAUCAAAUCUUCGAUUUGAUUAAAACAAAAUGAUUUUUAAAUUAAUUAUUGAAUGAUUAUUGAACGAGACUGUACAUUAUAAAUGUAAUGUUUUAACUCUAGAUGUUUGUUUGUGUAAAUGCUGUGUGUGCGGUGAGUUCUGCGCGAGUGGGGAGCAGAGUUGCCAUGGAAACGGGGCGUCAACACAAAAACCGUUACUGGCAAACAGUAAUCUCCUUCUCUCGCUGCGGUUUACACUGUUUUAGAAACGGUUUAGCGGUUCCGUUAGCAUUUUAGCAGUUUUCAGGAGGACAGAAAGAAACUCUACAGAACAGAAGUGAAGCUCCAAGAUUUCAACAUUUAUGAAGGGAGAUACUGACUUAGAAAUACAGGUGAACUGAAGAAGCUCAUGAAAUACAUGAAUAUGCCUUUUUCAGAAUACAUUUCACCAAUUUUAAGAAGUCCCUGACAUCAUGACCUUGUUUCCUUCUAAUGAACCUGGAACUGCAGAGUAAAUAUUGUUGACUCUGUGUCAGAUUGCUUGUUUUGUUCCUGGACUCUUCAGUGAUGACGAUCAGAGUCUGAGUGAACCUGCUGUCAGACAGGUUGGCCUGAUUGACGAUGCCAUCGUCCAUCGCCGAUGGCUGAUAGACAUCACGAUGCUGCGCCGGCAAACAGCGUCAUCAGCUCCAGUAUCUCGCCCGUGCAUCUGUUGUCAUGCGACAAAGAAGUCACGUUCUAUAGAGAGUUUCUACAGACAGUUGUGAACGUGCUGACAGCUGGUUGCCCAGGCUAUGGAUUAAAGGUAAUACUGUUGGCCAGCAGAGCCCUGCUCACCCUGACGGCCCACCGCUGCUGUCAGACAACAUCUCAAAGAUGCUAUAAACUGCAGGACUAGAUCGCCAUCCCAAGGUUUCUAGAGAUUACAGCAGCUCCAGACUGAAUCCAAACUCACUUUUGAAGACUUCAGAUGACACCAACGCUCACAAAGACUACAGACGACAACUGUACAUGAACACACAAAACAAUUAUUAUCCUUAUUUUGCCUAUAAGGGUAAAUUUGAUGAUUUUCAAACUGCUUUAUUGUAACGUCUCUUAUAUCUGUAAAUGAACAAUAUUUACUCUCUGAGUUAUGUGGACCUACAUGUCCCCUUUUAUUUGUAAGCAUCACUUUAAAAAUGUUGAAAGAUAAUGUUAAUGUUAACUGAAUACAAAACUAGACUUGUUUAGUAAGAUUUUAUCAGAAAAUAUUUUUGAACUUUUAUCAUGCAAUUUAAAACAUUUUAAUUGCUUAAUUAGGAAACACUUUAGAAUAAGGUUCCAUUAGUUAAUGUUAGUUAAUGUAUUAAUUAACAUGAACAAACAAUGAAUAAUACAUUUAUUACUGUAUUUAUUCAUCUUCGUUAAUGUUAGUUAAUGAAAAUACAGUUAUUCAUUGUUAGUUCAUGGUAAUUCACAGUGCAUUAACUAAUGUUAACAAGCACAACUUUUGAUUUAAAUAAUGCAUUAGUAAAUGUUGAAAUUAACAUGAACUAAGACUUAUAAAUGCUGUAGAAGGAUUGUUCUUGCUUAGUUCAUGUUAACGAAAGUAGUUAACUAACAUUAACUAAUGGAACCUUAUUCUAAAGUGUUACCCUUAAUUAUUGUUAACCUGGUUUUAUUUUGUGUUUAUGUAACUUUUUAAAAAGUUCUUGGCAUAAAGUUUGCAUGCGAUGCUGACAGCACUGAACACAUGACUUUUUAUUAUGAACUAGAUGGUCUUCCCAGUGAGUCUCAGUCAUCUCUGGCUUUUUAAACUGUAACCUUGAAACAUGCAUUUCCUGUAAACCUACUUUGAAAUAAGUAUUGUCAAAAGGUGCUAUACUCAUACAACAUUUAACCAUGCAAGUACUGUAGUAAUGGUUAUUUUUGUUUUUACUAUGGUUUUACUGCAAAAGCUGUAGUAAAAUCAUGGUUAAUGUUCAAAAGACUACAAAUAAUCCCGAAUUAUCCACUUUUGAUCAAAGCAUCUGGUAAAUGUUAUUGUAUUUGUACAUGUAAUAUGAAAUAAAUGAAAAUAUUAAUAAAGUUGCGUCUGUUCUUGA